AUUGAACGCUGGCGGUAGGCCUAACACAUGCAAGUCGAACGCGAAAGUCCUUCGGGAUGAGUAGAGUGGCGGACGGGUGAGUAACGCGUAGGAAUCUAUCCUGUAGUGGGGGAUAACGUUUCGAAAGGAACGCUAGUACCGCAUACGCCCCAAGGGGGAAAGCGGGGGAUCUUCGGACCUCGUGCUAUAGGAGGAGCCUGCGUCGGAUUAGCUAGUUGGUGAGGUAAAGGCUCACCAAGGCGACGAUCCGUAGCUGGUCUGAGGGGAUGAACGGCCACACCGGAACUGAGACACGGUCCGGACUCCUACGGGAGGCAGCAGUGGGGAAUAUUGCGCAAUGGGCGAAAGCCUGACGCAGCCAUACCGCGUGUGUGAAGAAGGCCUUCGGGUUGUAAAGCACUUUCAGUGGGGAGGAAAAGCUGGUGGCUAAUAUCCAUCGGCUGUGACGCUACCCACAGAAGAAGCACCGGCUAAUUCCGUGCCAGCCGCCGCCGUAAUAC
rnacentral:rRNA from 1 species